CCUACGGGCGGCAGCAGUGAGGAAUAUUGGUCAAUGGCCGGAAUGCUGAACCAGCCAUGCCGCGUGAAGGUCAGUGCCCUAUGGGCGUUAAACUUCUUUUGUGCGGGAGCAAUAAUGGUCACGUGUGGCCAGACGAGAGUACCGUACGAAUAAGCAUCGGCUAACUCCGUGCCAGCAGCCGCGGUAAUACGGGGGAUGCAAGCGUUAUCCGGAUUUAUUGGGUUUAAAGGGUGCGUAGGCUGGGAGGUAAGUCAGCGGUGAAAUGCCCCCGCUCAACGGGGUGAAGUGCCAUUGAUACUGCCUUGCUGGAAUGCGGAUGCCGUGGGAGGAAUGUGUGGUGUAGCGGGGAAAUGCAUAGAGAUCACACAGAACACCGAUUGCGAAGGCAUCUCACGAAUCCGCGAUUGACGCUGAUGCACGAAAGCGUGGGUAUCAAACAGGAUUAGAUACCCGAGUAGUC
rnacentral:rRNA from 1 species